rnacentral:sRNA from 1 species
AGAUUUGUGGCGAUGACACGGGGGUACAAAGAGGACGAGAAAACAGAGCCACCACGGCGAGCCAUGGUUAGGUAAAGUUGAACAAACAAGAUGUGCUGCGCCAUUGUGACGGAGGAACCCUCUUACGCCAUUAUUCUACAACAUGGCAAGUAGCGACGAAGGACGAGCAAACUCCCCAGUCCUUUGUUGACAAUGAAAAGUGUCUACAUGAAGUAGUUUGUGGUCUUGUUUUGACAGUAGUCUGGGAGUUCAUAUAUAAAGAACAGUGCAUUAUUCUGCUCCAUUUAGCUAGGUUUCCAUCAACACGGAAGCAGUCUGUGCCUUCUCUUGAACGAAUGGAAGUGUGAACUGAAAUCCAAAUUCUUUGAGAAAUUUUAUAUUUGAUAAGUAAUUUUGAGCUCUCAGUCUUAGACACUGCUUACAUUAUGGGACCACUUGAUCAGAAAAGUUCAUCCAAGGAAAGUGGAAAUUUAAGCUCACGAACUAGUGCUUCACAUGUAAAAGAAAUUGGAAACUCAUUCACAUCAUCCCAGGCAAGUCGUAUUCUAUCCAAAAACUCUUGGAAUAUAUCUCGAGGACAUAUACCCUCUGGAUCUGAGACUUAUCAGCUCGUGUUGAGGGAAAUGACAGAUACCAAGCAGAUUUACUCAGAAUCUCAGCAUAAAGGAAUCCGACCGACGAAAUCCAACAUUAAGUUGCCCGGAUGUGACAGUCCGCGGUGUCAGGUGCAAUGGGCAGAUAAACACCAGCAUCCCCACAGCCGCAGUCAGGAACAAGAAAAUCCGGAUAAUAACGGAACGUAACAAUUUGGAAUUGACCAUAAAUAGGCUUAUAUAUGAAUGACUGAAGAUGUACGUGUUUUAAUGUUUAUUGUUUCCGUCUCUUCUCAUUGUUAACAUUUUUAUACCCGUGUUUCCCUUUACAAUACUCUGACGGGAUUAAAAAAAAUUUCUCCAAAAUCUUCACUUCGAGCGGUGAGAAAGAGGAGUGAACUGUGAUAUGUAAUUAUAUAAUCGUGUGAGAAUGUACUUAUAAAAAAGUUCUCUGAUGUAGAUGUACUCUUUGUUGUAAUUUAUUCCCAUUGAAGUAUAAUUGAGCUCAAAUGUUCUGAGAACAAAGUUAUAAAAGAAAAUACAUCAUUUAGAACCGAU